CAACUACUCCCUCUGUCCCAAAUUUCUUGUCUUAGAUUUUUCUAGAUACGGAUGUAUCUAAUACUAAAAUGUGACUUGAUACAUCCGUAUCUAGACAAAUCUAAGAUAAGAAUUUCGGGACGGAGGGAGUACUUU
rfam:Triticum aestivum genome assembly, contig: Triticum_aestivum_CS42_TGACv1_scaffold_220773_3B